GGGUUGUGAGGUUAAGCGACUAAGCGUACACGGUGGAUGCCCUGGCAGUCAGAGGCGAUGAAGGACGUGCUAAUCUGCGAUAAGCGUCGGUAAGGUGAUAUGAACCGUUAUAACCGGCGAUUUCCGAAUGGGGAAACCCAGUGUGUUUCGACACACUAUCAUUAACUGAAUCCAUAGGUUAAUGAGGCGAACCGGGGGAACUGAAACAUCUAAGUACCCCGAGGAAAAGAAAUCAACCGAGAUUCCCCCAGUAGCGGCGAGCGAACGGGGAGCAGCCCAGAGCCUGAAUCAGUGUGUGUGUUAGUGGAAGCGUCUGGAAAGGCGCGCGAUACAGGGUGACAGCCCCGUACACAAAAAUGCACAUGCUGUGAGCUCGAUGAGUAGGGCGGGACACGUGGUAUCCUGUCUGAAUAUGGGGGGACCAUCCUCCAAGGCUAAAUACUCCUGACUGACCGAUAGUGAACCAGUACCGUGAGGGAAAGGCGAAAAGAACCCCGGCGAGGGGAGUGAAAAAGAACCUGAAACCGUGUACGUACAAGCAGUGGGAGCCUCUCUUUAUGGGGGGUGACUGCGUACCUUUUGUAUAAUGGGUCAGCGACUUAUAUUCUGUAGCAAGGUUAACCGAAUAGGGGAGCCGAAGGGAAACCGAGUCUUAACUGGGCGUUAAGUUGCAGGGUAUAGACCCGAAACCCGGUGAUCUAGCCAUGGGCAGGUUGAAGGUUGGGUAACACUAACUGGAGGACCGAACCGACUAAUGUUGAAAAAUUAGCGGAUGACUUGUGGCUGGGGGUGAAAGGCCAAUCAAACCGGGAGAUAGCUGGUUCUCCCCGAAAGCUAUUUAGGUAGCGCCUCGUGAAUUCAUCUCCGGGGGUAGAGCACUGUUUCGGCAAGGGGGUCAUCCCGACUUACCAACCCGAUGCAAACUGCGAAUACCGGAGAAUGUUAUCACGGGAGACACACGGCGGGUGCUAACGUCCGUCGUGAAGAGGGAAACAACCCAGACCGCCAGCUAAGGUCCCAAAGUCAUGGUUAAGUGGGAAACGAUGUGGGAAGGCCCAGACAGCCAGGAUGUUGGCUUAGAAGCAGCCAUCAUUUAAAGAAAGCGUAAUAGCUCACUGGUCGAGUCGGCCUGCGCGGAAGAUGUAACGGGGCUAAACCAUGCACCGAAGCUGCGGCAGCGACGCUUAUGCGUUGUUGGGUAGGGGAGCGUUCUGUAAGCCUGUGAAGGUGUGCUGUGAGGCAUGCUGGAGGUAUCAGAAGUGCGAAUGCUGACAUAAGUAACGAUAAAGCGGGUGAAAAGCCCGCUCGCCGGAAGACCAAGGGUUCCUGUCCAACGUUAAUCGGGGCAGGGUGAGUCGACCCCUAAGGCGAGGCCGAAAGGCGUAGUCGAUGGGAAACAGGUUAAUAUUCCUGUACUUGGUGUUACUGCGAAGGGGGGACGGAGAAGGCUAUGUUGGCCGGGCGACGGUUGUCCCGGUUUAAGCGUGUAGGCUGGUUUUCCAGGCAAAUCCGGAAAAUCAAGGCUGAGGCGUGAUGACGAGGCACUACGGUGCUGAAGCAACAAAUGCCCUGCUUCCAGGAAAAGCCUCUAAGCAUCAGGUAACAUCAAAUCGUACCCCAAACCGACACAGGUGGUCAGGUAGAGAAUACCAAGGCGCUUGAGAGAACUCGGGUGAAGGAACUAGGCAAAAUGGUGCCGUAACUUCGGGAGAAGGCACGCUGAUAUGUAGGUGAAGUCCCUCGCGGAUGGAGCUGAAAUCAGUCGAAGAUACCAGCUGGCUGCAACUGUUUAUUAAAAACACAGCACUGUGCAAACACGAAAGUGGACGUAUACGGUGUGACGCCUGCCCGGUGCCGGAAGGUUAAUUGAUGGGGUUAGCGCAAGCGAAGCUCUUGAUCGAAGCCCCGGUAAACGGCGGCCGUAACUAUAACGGUCCUAAGGUAGCGAAAUUCCUUGUCGGGUAAGUUCCGACCUGCACGAAUGGCGUAAUGAUGGCCAGGCUGUCUCCACCCGAGACUCAGUGAAAUUGAACUCGCUGUGAAGAUGCAGUGUACCCGCGGCAAGACGGAAAGACCCCGUGAACCUUUACUAUAGCUUGACACUGAACAUUGAGCCUUGAUGUGUAGGAUAGGUGGGAGGCUUUGAAGUGUGGACGCCAGUCUGCAUGGAGCCGACCUUGAAAUACCACCCUUUAAUGUUUGAUGUUCUAACGUGGACCCGUGAUCCGGGUUGCGGACAGUGUCUGGUGGGUAGUUUGACUGGGGCGGUCUCCUCCUAAAGAGUAACGGAGGAGCACGAAGGUUGGCUAAUCCUGGUCGGACAUCAGGAGGUUAGUGCAAUGGCAUAAGCCAGCUUGACUGCGAGCGUGACGGCGCGAGCAGGUGCGAAAGCAGGUCAUAGUGAUCCGGUGGUUCUGAAUGGAAGGGCCAUCGCUCAACGGAUAAAAGGUACUCCGGGGAUAACAGGCUGAUACCGCCCAAGAGUUCAUAUCGACGGCGGUGUUUGGCACCUCGAUGUCGGCUCAUCACAUCCUGGGGCUGAAGUAGGUCCCAAGGGUAUGGCUGUUCGCCAUUUAAAGUGGUACGCGAGCUGGGUUUAGAACGUCGUGAGACAGUUCGGUCCCUAUCUGCCGUGGGCGCUGGAGAACUGAGGGGGGCUGCUCCUAGUACGAGAGGACCGGAGUGGACGCAUCACUGGUGUUCGGGUUGUCAUGCCAAUGGCACUGCCCGGUAGCUAAAUGCGGAAGAGAUAAGUGCUGAAAGCAUCUAAGCACGAAACUUGCCCCGAGAUGAGUUCUCCCUGACCCUUUAAGGGUCCUGAAGGAACGUUGAAGACGACGACGUUGAUAGGCCGGGUGUGUAAGCGCAGCGAUGCGUUGAGCUAACCGGUACUAAUGAACCGUGAGGCUUAACCUUACAACGCCGAAG
rnacentral:rRNA from 1 species